AUUGAACGCUGGCGGCAGGCCUAACACAUGCAAGUCGAGCGGAUGAGAGGAGCUUGCUUCUCGAUUCAGCGGCGGACGGGUGAGUAAUGCCUAGGAAUCUGCCUGGUAGUGGGGGACAACGUUUCGAAAGGAACGCUAAUACCGCAUACGUCCUACGGGAGAAAGCAGGGGACCUUCGGGCCUUGCGCUAUCAGAUGAGCCUAGGUCGGAUUAGCUAGUUGGUGAGGUAAUGGCUCACCAAGGCGACGAUCCGUAACUGGUCUGAGAGGAUGAUCAGUCACACUGGAACUGAGACACGGUCCAGACUCCUACGGGAGGCAGCAGUGGGGAAUAUUGGACAAUGGGUGAAAGCCUGAUCCAGCCAUGCCGCGUGUGUGAAGAAGGUCUUCGGAUUGUAAAGCACUUUAAGUUGGGAGGAAGGGUUGUAGAUUAAUACUCUGCAAUUUUGACGUUACCGACAGAAUAAGCACCGGCUAACUCUGUGCCAGCCGCCGCCACGGUAA
rnacentral:rRNA from 1 species